rnacentral:rRNA from 1 species
CCCUUAGAUGUUCUGGGCCGCACGCGUGCUACACUGAGUGGAUCAGCGGGUCAGGUUGCGCGAAAGUGUUUCCUAAUCUUUAAAUCCGCUCGUGAUGGGGAUUGACGGUUGCAAUUUUCCGUCAUGAACGAGGAAUACCUUGUAAGCGCGGGUCAUCAUCCCGCGCUGAAUACGUCCCUGCCCUUUGUACACACCGCCCGUCGCUCCUACCGAUUGAGUGGCCCGGUGAGGCUUUGGGAUCUGAGCGGAAAGAGCGUUUCGCUGUUUCUGCUCGGAAAACUCAGUCGAACCUUAUCAUUUAGAGGAAGGAGAAGUCGUAACA